rnacentral:rRNA from 1 species
UACGUAGGGGGCAAGCGUUGUCCGGAAUCAUUGGGCGUAAAGAGCGCGUAGGCGGCCCAGUAAGUCCGCUCUGAAAGUCAGAGGCUCAACCUCUGAAUGCGGGUGGAUACUGCUGGGCUAGAGUCCGGAAGAGGUGAGUGGAACUGCGAGUGUAGAGGUGAAAUUCGUAGAUAUUCGCAAGAACACCAGUGGCGAAGGCGGCUCACUGGCUCGGUACUGACGCUGAGGCACGAAAGCGUGGGGAGCAAACAGG